UACGGAGGGUGCAAGCGUUAUCCGGAUUCACUGGGCUUAAAGGGCGCGUAGGCGGGCCGGUAAGUCAGUGGUGAAAUCCUGGAGCUUAACUCCAGAACUGCCAUUGAUACUAUCUGUCUUGAAUAUUGUGGAGGUAAGCGGAAUAUGUCAUGUAGCGGUGAAAUGCGUAGAUAUGACAUAGAACACCUAUGGCGAAGGCAGCUUACUGGGCAGAUAUUGACGCUGAGGCGCGAAAGCGUGGGGAGCAAACAGG
rnacentral:rRNA from 1 species